rnacentral:lncRNA from 1 species
CAGUUCCGGCCAACUCCUCGCCGGAGGUUUCUAGCUUUUUAACUGAAAAUGUCGUCAGAAAAUCAAGAAAGUUGGUUUCUUUACCUUCUUCAACUAAACUCUCAUCUUCUGUGAUAUAUGCAGUAAAAGAAGAAACCCCACUUCAAAAAACAAACACCCAGUUGACAAUUUCCCGCAUCUUUACCUUCUUCAACUAAACUCUCAUCUUCUGUGAUAUAUGCAGUAAAAGAAGAAACCCCACUUCAAAAAACAAACACCCAGUUGACAAUUUCCCGCAUCUAUCCGAACUUUGUGAGUUUUACAUAUAAUUCAGUGGCUUAUUAUCCU